GGUCAAACACACAAAAAUAGAGUCUUAAUGCACCUUUUUGACCACAUACUGAUUAAAAACUACAGCACAUCACAAAAGUAUGCAUACCCCUUUUUUAGUUUCCCACGUGUGGUCACAAUGAAACUAAAAGUCUCAAUGUAUUUCACUGGGAGAGCUUUGUGUGAUAGAACAACAAUAACAGAGGAUAAUUGUGAAAUGAAUAGAAGUGGAAAUGGCUUUUAAAAUUUCUAAUUUGAAAAAAAACCUGAGCAUUGCAGAGUGCAUUCAGAGGUCCUUUACUCUGGCCUCAUGGAAGAGAAACAAAAAAAAAUUGCUGAAUGAGAGCCUUCGGUGAGAGCGCUCGUUCACAGCUCACCACAAGCCACUUAGGGGUAAACAGAUGGAAGGAGGAGGUUUGGUAAAACAGAAACUGAAAUUUUGGCAUGAAUGGAAAUUUCAGACAGAAAACCAACACUGCACAUGACCAUGAAAACAAUUUAACCACUGUAAAGCAUGGUGAUGAUGGCAUCAUUCCAUGAUAAUGUUUUUUUUUUUUUUUUUUAGCAUGGAAGAGAAAACCAGUCAGUAUUAGUGGGGAAAUUAAUUUAUCUAAAUACACUACAAUCAUGCCAUGAUCCUAAACAUGUAGACAUAAACAUAUAAAUUAACCCUAACCCUACAGUGGAAUAGCAAAUAAUAUUCAAGUCAUAGAAUGAUCUAGUCAAAGUUUAGCCCCAAUUCCAACAGAAAAUCUGUGCCAAGUCUUUAAAAUGUUGUUCAAGGCUCUUCUCCCCAAAAUAUUCUUCUCCUAACAAUAUUUAUUCAUCUCAAGAGCUAAGAUUUCCUCAGUUAAUUAUUUGAAUAUCCCAGCUCUGGUAUUUUACAAGUAUCUCAAAAUGAAAGGCACCAAAUAUCAAGUGAAAUUUGCAAAGUGGGUGUCUUCUGUAGCUUUCCUGCUGUCUCUCCCUUAAUGGGAUGUUUCCUGUUUCUACCGGUGCCCAGCGAUGCAGGCCCAGGUUUAUUUUUGUACUUUGUAAUUUUUUUCCUUGUGUGUGUUGUUGUACUUGUCCCAGACGGGUGGCGCUGGAUCAUUUCAGCAGAACCUCCCGACUGCUUCCUGUGGUAUUGUGCUACUAACCCCGUGCUACCACCGAGUCCUGGCCUCUCGCCCAUCCUAUUUAGGAGUCCAGGGCAGGAAACAUCCAGACGUCUAGGCAGAGUUGUAGGCAAAACUCCCAACUGUGUCUAGAUGACGACGUAUGGAGUCUGUGUACACAUGUCCUUUGUAUCUGCUGCGAGUUCUGUGUUUCUGAUCUUCUGUCUUGCUGUGAUGGAUGGAUAAAAAAAAAGAACUCUGGUGAAAUUCAGCUACAGUCUCUGAAGUUUCCGCCAGCUGACUUUUUAGGUCAGACAGGAACAAGGUUUAAUCAGAGCCGAGAUAAAAGCAGACUGACGACACUCCUGUAUCCUGCGCUGCUCCACCCCGCCACCCUCGCUGCUCCCCCUGCCUCCUUCACAUCUCUCUGUCAUUAAUGUCGGGCAGCAGGGAGCGGGAUCCGCAGCAGCUUUUGGAUUUCGUGUUCUGCUGCAAACAUAGCCUGGGUUUGUCCCAGCGGACGAGUGUGCAGAUGGACACAGAUGGCUACUGUGUACCUCCAUCGGUUCAGCGAUGACUGGCUGGAUUUGAGUGGAUUACCCAGCAUGCCUUGGCUCCCCAGCAGCCUGGAGGUCUGCUGAGUUUGCCUUCACGCUCAGAGGAAGAGGCAGGGAAAGGAGGACAAAAAGGGAGAUUAUGAGUGUAUGCGUGCAUGUGGAACAAAAUGUGUACGGGACCAGAAAUAACUGAAGGAGGAAAAAAAAAAAAAAACAUCUACCUGAACUGCUGACAAAGCAGCAUUUUCUGAAUACAGCAACUAGCAAAAUUUAAAUAGCUGCAACAACAAGAAGACGGGCAUGUUGGCUCCCCCAGCGAAACAUUCGAUCGUCUAAAGCAAAGAAGUAAUCAGAAAUUCAAGCAGAAAUAAAUUAAAGGUUUGUUCUGAUGGCACGGAUAAAUUGUGGGAGUCCACUGGUUUCCAUGGAAACGAACAUGCACAACUCGUAGGAUGGAACUUUGAGAUCUCAUUGGUAAAAUCGCUGCCAGUCACAUAAAUUGGAAACUGAUGUGUGAGAAGGUAAAAAUGAUCUUCCAUAAUCAGUAAUUUUGUGUAGUGAGUCAAAGAUAAGUGAGGAUAUAGGACUCUGGAUGAACUAAGUGUUG